rnacentral:misc_RNA from 1 species
CAAGAAGCCGAAAGGCUACUUAAAACCAUCGCGAACUUAUCCAAGUUGCUUCGGCGGCGCGGCUCCCCUCACGGGGGACCGCAGCCCCCGCCUCUCAGGAGGUAAGGGGCAGCCGCCGGAGGUACGAAACUCUGCAUUAUAGUGGUAUCUCUGAGUAUAAAACAAAUAAGUUA